AUUCGCAACUGUGAACAUAUUCUGAUGUUACACAGGCUGCACAAGCUCCAGGAAUAGGAUUGAGAAGUAAGAUCCAGGAUGGAAAGACUACAUUUUGAAGAUGACAUGAAGAAAGCUUCCAUAAACAUUUGUUUCGGACACAUAUCUGGAAAGACACAGAAGAAGACUUGCAAAAAAGAGCAGAUACCUGAUUGGUGGGACCAAACAUGAGGAACUUCUCACUUCUUAUACACUUGGUGUAAAUACUAGUAUGUGUAAAAUACACAGAUGACCUAACCCUAACAGGGCCUCUCAAGUUUUGCCACAGAAACAACAAAACAGUUGCGUUCUGUCAACACUCACCCGAUGCAUUGAGCUUGCCGCCAUCGAACCAUUGUAUUUUCCCCUCUGUCAUGUCACAAUCUUUCACUUUAUGGAAGUCAUGGAACCAUUUUAACCUGGAUCGUGCCAGUUUACCCCAAAACACGUCGGGGCUCUCCAAACUGAACCUGUACAAAUCGUCAUGUGUUUUGAUGUGUGGCACCCCUUCAAACUCAGGAAAAGGAGUUGUUGUGGUGGAUGUCGUGAUGCCUCGCUGACUGACCAAAACCUUGGCAUACUUCAGGCACUUCCUCAGUUGUGGUUGUCUGCUGCAAGAUAGUGUCGUCUGGACUCUAAGAGUGGUGCAAAACAAUUCCCUGAGCACGGCCAUCCUGCUGGAGUUUCUGCCCAAGCUGCCCUCACUCAACAAUUCAACUGACAGCGUUCAGCCGCCCCAUUCGCUAGCUGGCUCCGCAUUACCGUAUUACACACAAACAAUACGCGUACACUAGUAUACUUCACAAAACUAUAUAUCUCCGAAACUGGUAUUUAUCUCUUCAAAUGCUCGAUGUCUUGUAAAUAAGGUCAAUGUUAACAUGACCAGUACCGUUGGUGGUCAAUGGUCCACCAGAAGAAGUGGGCGUGGCAAAUUCCGGCGCGUGUUGAUUGGACCAAAUGUAUAGCUAGUGUAUGUUACAAAACUGGGCCAUGAAACUUCAGAAAGGGUUGUGCAUGUGAGAUUUUCGGGUCAUAAUUAGAUUAUCAACAGCAACGUUGACUUGUGGAUGUAGUUGGAGAAAAAUUAUUUUCCACCGAU